UCGUGCUCGUGAGACUCGAUUAGAGUUCUACUGACGUCACGGAAAGGCGCCGGAUAGGGUAUGAAAUAAGCAGCACAAGCUAAACAGCGAGAUGUUUAUUAAUAUGUUCGCCCGUCGUUCAGGUGCAGAGAAAUUCGCCUGUUCGUAUGCAGCGCAGACGAUUGCGGUUCCGACAGGUGCCACCACCUUGCGGAAACGCUGGCGCGCUUCUUCUGCCGUCUAGAACUCAGGAAAGUAUCAGUCGCGGAACUUGCGGCGAACUCCAAUAAAUGAUGUAGGUACAGCUAGAACAAAAGUACACAGGCUUGCGAAAGAAACGUAUUCUCAGGUGAGAAAUGUCGAUUUUAAUUAAAAAUAGACUGUUAUACAUUCAUUUCCAUGUCAUCCUUACAAAAUAGAAUCUAAUCUCGACGCUUUCGCGAAAUUUUAAAGGACUCUGGACCUUCCUCUCGAUCACGGCGGUGAUUCCGAGAUGAUUCUCUAGAUUUUAGUCGGGUAACAAAUCGGCGUGGAAAAUGCUCAAAUCUUCGUCUCUCGGCUCUACGUGCCGUUUGACGACGAGACCCCAUGUCGGCGCCAUGUUGACGUUCGCCGCUACGUUCCUGCUGCCAUUACAAUCGCUCUCGGACCCCACGGUCCCACAACGGGCGAUUGUAUCGGAGGAAGGGGUCUCCAUGUCGGUUCAGUGAGCUCACGCACGUCGAACACUCAUCAGCUCACGGCGCCGCGGCGGUACGUCCAAAAAUGGCGUUCCUCGCGUUAGCGUAGUUCGCCGUCGCCGUCUUCGCCGCAGCCCGUCGUCGACGUUCGUCAGCGUCGUCACGAUCCGCUCGCCGAACGAUCCGGUGGAGCCGAGGGGCGCCAGCCCGAGGAACAGCCAACGAAUCUGAGAAUGCAGUCGACCGAGCAGCUGCGACCGGAGCAGCUGGUGGGCCUGGUGGCCCGCUCGGCUGAGGGUACGGCCGCCAAGGGGAUGCCGAUCAAGGGCCACGAGGACCUCUGGGUAGAGAUCCAAGCCAACACCUUUCGGAACUGGGUAAACGAACAUCUGAAGCACGCCAGCGACGUGGGCGGCGGCCCCGUGUUGGACCUCGCCGAGGACUUUCGAGACGGCACGCGUCUCUGCGCCCUGGUCGAGGUGCUGACGAAACGCCGGCUGCCCCGAUGGAACCCGCGACCGGCGAACCAGCACCACCAUCUGGAGAACGUGUCCACGGCGCUGCAGGCCAUCGAGGCCGAUGGCGUCAAGCUCGUCAACAUCGGUAACGUGGACAUCGUGAACGGCAACCUGAAGCUGAUCCUGGGCCUGAUAUGGUCGCUCAUCGUGCGGUACCAAAUAGGCAAGUCCAAGUUCCCGCCGAGGAAGCUGAUGCUCGCAUGGCUCAAGGCUGUCCUGCCGGAAUGCAGAGUCAAUAAUUUCACGACCGACUGGAACUCCGGCGUGUAUCUGAGCGCACUUUUGGAUUACUGCAACCCCGGCCUGUUUCCUCAUUGGCGCAAGCUCGAUCCAAAUGACAGCGUUUACAACUGUCGCAAGGCCAUGGAGAUAUCGAAGCGCGAGUUUGAUAUUCCCAUGGUGCUGGAGCCGGACUAUCUGGCGUCGCCUUACCUAGACGAGCUCUCGGGGAUGACCUACUUGUCGUACUUCAUGAAGGAAGGCUCGCCGGGCUUCCACGCAACGCUACGAUGGGUCAAUUCGCAAUUAUCACACACCUCAAUACGGAACUUCACGACGGACUGGAACGACGGUCGGGCACUGUGCGGCAUCGUCAGAAAUCUGGGCGGCCCGGCGCCACCCUAUGAGAAACUCGACACCGAUCCCUCCGCGUGGGAGCAUAACUUGCAAAUGGGUAUCGACGGCGGCAAGAAGCUGGGCGUGGAGCCGAUCCUGAAAGCGAAGGACAUGGCGGAUCAAAAUGUAGAGCAUUUAGGCGUGAUGGCGUACGCGGCGUACUUUCAGUGGGUGAAGCCUCGCCCUCAAGCGAGUCAACAGAUUGCCGUGCACGUCGACAGCACAUCCGCCCGAGUGCAACAGCCGGCACAUUUCAAGCUGGAGAUGCUUACCAAAGACGUAAACGCGCGGGAGGUGCGCGGCGAGAUCAUCAGUCCCAGCGGACGGGUGGAGUGCAGGCUCACUUGGAACGGGGUUCAUGGCAAGGGCACUUUCGUACCUACGGAAGUAGGCAUGCACAAGCUGAUGGUGUACAACGAUGGCGAGCUGGUAAACGGAUGUCCCUAUUACUUCAGGGUUUUGCCGCCGCUAACGAAAAUCAAAUCCCCGGGCAUGGAUCCUUGCGCCAUAGGAUCUAUCGUCGAGGUUCUAGUCAACAGUUACGGAACUAGUCACGAUGGUAUUGACGUAACUGCGUGGUCUCCGACCGGAAGAUCGCUGCCGUGCCCCGUCAAGGAGAAGGACGGUGUUCAUACGGCGACCUUUCAACCCGACGAGACGGGAGAAUGGAGUAUCGCGAUAACGCACAAGGGAAAUCACAUACAAGGCGGUCCCUUUACUUGCUUCGUAUUCGAUCCUAAUGGAAUCAAGCUUCUGGACACCGAAGGCGCUAUGCCUGGACAACCUUUCUCUUUCAUCGUGGACGCGCGGGGAACUGGUGGACUCGGCGACGUGAUUAUCGACAUCGUCCACGAUAAGAAAUCAGUGCCCUACAGAAUAGAGGAUUUCGGUCACAUGCAAUACCGAGUGUCCUUUGUGCCUGGCGACGAUGGAAAAUAUCGGGUAUACGUCUACUUCAACGGUUCGGAUGUGCAUGGUUCGCCGUUUUCCAUACGCGUGGGAACGCAAAAGGGCUCCCGCAGAUCAAAGGAGUCCACGUCCAGUCUGGAGCGGUCGAAGAUAUCAUCCCUGGAAAGACGAAUGAACGGGCUGAACAUGUCCGUGACGGAACGGAACAGCCCAUCCCAGAAGAUGUACACUUCGACCGCGUACAAGUCCAUCAGCCCGACGCAGCGUGGUUACUCACCUAUCCAUCAGACCAGUCCGACGUAUAAAAUGUCCAGCAACUAUGUUACCGAGAACUCGACGACCUAUCACAGCACCAACUCACUGAACCGUACUCGCUCGCCGAAUCAUAUCAAUCACAGCCCUGUGCAGAGGACGGUGCACAGUCCGUCAGUAUUGAAGGAAACGAAUAAGGAGAUUUACAGCAGCAGCGCGUACAAUCAUCGCUCGAGAUCGCCGAAUCUGCAGAGCCCUAGUUUCAUUAAGGAGUCCAAGGAUAUUUAUUCGUCUAGUACGCUCAAUAGAUCGCGAUCACCGGAUCUGAGUCCCACCGCACAUGUCAUCAAAGAAUCCAAGGACAUCUAUAAUUCGGGAUCCCUGAAGCGGUCACGUUCGCCGACUCGCAGUCCAAUGGCAUAUCCUAGUGCCACGCCAAGUCCUGUAAACCGCAGCUUUAGCCCGAGGACUGGCGAUAAAGAUGCGCUUUUUAAUCGGCGCGGAUCCACGGACAACGGUGUUGUCGACACUAGCAGUAAUGUGCGAGUGUCCUCGAUGGUGGGUGGUACCUCGAGACGCGAUUCUUGGGACGCGAUCGCCAAGACGAAGUCGUUGCUAUCGUACGGCAGUCUCGAAUCCCUCGCGAAUUUGACGAACAACUCGCCGACCGCGGAGAAUCGCGCUGGCGAUAAUCCGAACAACAAUCUUCUGAACAACAAUUACAAGACCGCGCAGAGCUACGCCAAGAACACGUCGCACUCCACGACGACGAGUUACUCGUCCGUGCAGAAGUCGUCGAGUCCCGAUUAUGGCACGGGUUCGAGGUACGACGGUCAGACGGCCACUCGCACGCACGGCAUCCUGAAGAAUAAAAACAACAACUACUACGGCAAGCUCGCGGACACGACGGACGGUACCGCGACUCACGACAGGUACCUGAACAACGGCGGUGCCGUUUACGUGUCCCCGUCAUCUGGCAACAAGAGCGGAAUAACCGCUGUCGUCACCGGAAACGCGUUGGAAACACUGCCGGUGCAUCGGCCGACCACUUUCAGCGUCAACGGCGUGGAUCCCAAUAAGGUGUCCGUCACCGUUACCGGGCCCAAUGGCAAGACCGUGCCGCUACAGAAAUCGAAGCUGCGCGGUUUGACGUACACCAUCACCGCCGAGGAAGUCGGCGAACACGUCAUUCAAAUUCUGGUGAAUGGCCAGCAUGUCAAGGGAUCACCCUUUAGGUCGCAGGCGUAUAACGCCCGAGCUAUACAGGUCGGAAAGAUCCCGAACGGAGUGGUAAACCAGCCGGUAGAGUUUGAAAUUGACGGAUCGAGGGCCGGCUCAGGAAACCUGGAGAUCCUCGUAAACGGGGGUCACGUUACGAGUUUCGUGAGAGCGCUAGGUAGUCAACGUUUCUUGGCAUCGUUUGUCCCGCACGAAGCGGUUGCGCACCUGGUCGAAAUGACGUUCAACGGGGAAGUCGUCCCUGGAUCACCUUGGCGAGUUGGCAUCAUGCCUGCACCAAAAAUGUCAGUGAUUGGUGAUUCCAUCAGGCUGGUCCCUGCUGGUAGUCCUGCCCUCUUUGAGCUGUCUGCAUUAGGUUUCAGCAGCAGUGAGAUCGACGUCCAGAUCAUAACACCCUCGAAGAGGCACAUUCCCGCGAGAAUUGACGAGGAGCCCGGACGAUCCGGCGAGUUCCGCGUCGAGUUCACACCAACUGAAGUGGGCAGCCACCUCGUGGAAGUCAGCAUCGCGGGACAAAAGCUACCGGCGGGACCUCUCGUCGCCAAGGUGUACAACAGCAGUCUAAUCCAAGUUACUGACGUGCCUAGCGCUGUGGUUGGACAUGCCUGUCAAUUCAGAGUGGAUGCCAGCGCUGCUGGGGAAGGUCAGCUAGAGAUCUCCAUAAAUGAGGGUGAGGUGCCCAAUCAUGUCCAGGUGGUAGGCGGUGGCCGUUGUCUCGUAUCCUUCACCCCUGAGGUAGCCAAACCUCACUACAUUGACAUAAAGUUUAAUGGGGAAGCGGUACGUGGAUGUCCCUUCGUCUGCAAUGUGUCGGACACGAGUAGAGUCAUGUUGAGCUUGAAUCAUUUAGAACUGAUCCCAGUCGAACAGCCUGCCAGCUUUCACAUGGGAGUCGACGGAAGUGGCAGCGCAGAACUAGCAGUUUAUGUAAGGGGACCAAACAGCGAGUUGCCAGUUAAAGUCACUGGUAACGUAAGCAGCGGUUUUACCGCGGAAUUUAUACCGAAGGAAGUGGGAGUACACUCAAUUAGCGUAGAAUACAACGGUUAUCCCGUAAAUGGGACGCCGUUUUUGGCUAAAGCAUUUAACGCGGAUAAAGUGCUAAUUGGCCCUGUGGCUAGAGGUAGCGUUGGUCAACCAACCCACUUUACUGUCGAUGCAAGUCAAGCUGGUGAAGGAAACCUGGAGAUCACGAUAUCGGCUCGCGGCCAGAACAUACCGACGCAAGUGACACCGCAAGGAAACGCGCGGUUCUCCGUCAGCUUCGUACCGUUCGAGGCGUGCGAGCACGUUAUCAACAUUGCCUUCAAUAAAAAAACCGUGCCCGGCUGUCCUAUAGUAACGAGAGUAGGUGGCGAUAGCCACGUGACUGUGAGCGGGCAGGCGUUAAGCAGCGCUGGAUUAGGACGGCAAAGCUAUCUCACCGUCAGUAACGUUGCCGGUAGCUUGGAAGACUUAGAAGUUAACGUUGAAGGUCGGCCAGCUUUCAGACUACGACAUUACUAGACUUCUCAGAAACUAAUCCUCCCUUUUUUAUCUUAAUUUAUGGAUUAACGCACAUGGUGGACCCAAUGGACAGGCCGUACCUGCUCAGGUCACUGACAACAAAGAUACGACAUGCAGCGUGGCGUUCACUCCGAGAGUCGUCGGCGA
rnacentral:misc_RNA from 1 species